rnacentral:rRNA from 1 species
GCCUAUGACCAAGCUACCCAGAAUGCACCCAAUCUCAUGAGAUCUCAGAAGCUAAGCAGGGUUUAGCCUAGAUAGUGCUUGGAUGAGCAACCGCAAUACGUACACCAGGUGCUGUCGGCU